rnacentral:rRNA from 1 species
AGAGCGAACGCUGGCGGCAGGCCUAACACAUGCAAGUCGAACGCCCCUUCGGGGGAGUGGCGGACGGGUGAGUAACGCGUGGGAAUGUGCCCUUUGGUACGGAACAACUGAGGGAAACUUCAGCUAAUACCGUAUGUGCCCUUCGGGGGAAAGAUUUAUCGCCAUUGGAGCAGCCCGCGUUGGAUUAGGUAGUUGGUGGGGUAAAGGCCUACCAAGCCUACGAUCCAUAGCUGGUCUGAGAGGAUGAUCAGCCACACUGGGACUGAGACACGGCCCAGACUCCUACGGGAGGCAGCAGUGGGGAAUCUUGCACAAUGGGCGAAAGCCUGAUGCAGCGACGCCGCGUGAGGGAUGACGGCCUUCGGGUUGUAAACCUCCUUCAGCAGGGAAGAAGCGAGAGUGACGGUACCUGCAGAGAAGCGCGCUAACACGUGCCAGCAGCCGC